AUUAAACCUUAAAUAUAAAAAUGGAGUAUCUGGGAUGUUUUACCCACAGCAGGGUUGGGAAAACAACCCAUUCUGAGAAAGAAGCAAUCAGGAACACUGAGUCCAGAGAAGACAGUUAAGACCCAAAGGCCAGGUUUAUUGUCCAGGAAUAUGAUGACAUAAGAAGGAACCUAUGCUCCAGGUCAAACUAACCUUUCCCAUCUCCAAAUCCUGCAUGCCCCAGUAAGCAAGGCAAAAGGGGCUGCCUCUCCCUCAACCCCAACACUCAAAGCCCCAUUCCCAAAAAAUGGCUUGAAACUGUGGGGCUGGUCUCAGAGUGUCCUUCAUCCUGAUUGCUGUCAGUCCUCCCAAUCCCCCAGCAGCCCAAGGCUCUCCGUCAUUUUGUAGGGCUCUAUUGGCUGGAAGGUGCCACUCUGCCAAAGCACUCCCACCCCUUCCCUCUAGUCCUGUUCCUUAUCUGUUAUCCCCCUGGGGCACACACAGUCUUCCAGUUGUUUGGCUGGCAGCCCUUUGCCAGAAUUAAGCUCCAUGAAGGCUGGAGUUCUGUUUUCCACCCCAGUGCAUAGGAAGGCAUUAGCACACAGCACACACUCACUGACUAUUUAAAUGAAUGAACGAAUGAACAAAUGCAGCAGCAAAGAGACAAAGUAGCGACUCUCUCACAGGUUAAACAGUUAAGUCUUGCUUGUUUCCUAGAGAAAAAAAUCACCCAGGAGGGACAGGGAUGUCAAGUCCCCAACAUCUAAGCAGAGACAGCUUUCUCUCAGAGCCCUCAAAGCUUCAGAAGCUGCUCCUUUUGCCAACCUCUCCACCCCCAGCACCUAGCACACUGCCUUCGUUGUUUGAUCAAGACCAUUUCAGGAGCAGCGCAGGGCGUCAAAAGGAAACCCAUUUGUGAUCAGCAGUGUCAAGGGUUUCGAGCAGCCAGGCUCAUUGGCAGUCGGCUUUUGGUGAAACUGCCAGAUGCUGAAUCCAUUAACAGGCAGUUGUGUCACAAGAAAGCCCAGCUUGUCAAGAGAUUCCUUCGGUGGGGCCCACCUGCUGUGUUUACCUUUCCAGAGUACAGAUAAAUAGCUCCUGCUUCCUCACCCUCCAACACACACACACACACACACACACACACACACACACACACACCAGGCCUUAUGGACCAACAGAAGUGAAUGGUCUAGAAUUCAUCUUUUGACCCUACCCUGCCUUUCCACAGUUAAGGCCAGGCUCAAUUUGGUAGAAUUUUUCUGCCCCCACUAUGAGAAAGUCCCUGUCUCAAAGACUUGCUAAGCAUGAGACAGCUGGCCAGACGGGGGUGAGGCCUUGGAAAAAGAAGAAUCUUGUUUUACAAGCUUUAAAUGGGGAAGAGAUUCCCAUGUGAUCCUCAACAAAUGACGGAGCCUCUGUGAAUCUCAGUGUUCUCACCUGUCAAAUGAAAACACUAUCAUCUUCUAAGAGCUGUUUUAAGGGUUAAAUGAGGUAAUAUAUCCAAAGUGCUUAGUCUGGUGCCCAACCCUCAGCCACGCUGAGGUCCUACGGGACAGCAAAGCUCUAAGAUGGAAGGAACCUGCUUUGUUGUUGUUGUUGAGUCUAAAGACUUAACCGAGGAUUUCUGGGGGAGGAUGGGAGAUUGGCAGACAGGAGUUUGAAAUGCAUUCUUGGAGUUUUUAAAGGAGAAAAGGAACAACUGAUGUUCUUUUCGUGUGUGUGUGUGUGUGUGUACACAAGCGUGCAUCCACACAUACACACACAGACAACACUCUUUUCUCACUAGCUCCUAUCUGGGGCUCCUCAGAAAG
rnacentral:lncRNA from 1 species